UUUGUUUAGUGCAGACGGGUGAGUAAUGCGUAGGAUCUACCUAGUAGUACGGAAUAGCCAUUAGAAAUGGUGGGUAAUACUGUAUAAUCCCCGAGGGGGAAAGAUUUAUCGCUAUUAGAUGGGCCUACGUUAGAUUAGCUAGUUGGUGAGGUAAUGGCUUACCAAGGCUAUGAUCUAUAGCUGGUCUGAGAGGACGAUCAGCCACACUGGAACUGAGAUACGGUCCAGACUCCUACGGGAGGCAGCAGUGGGGAAUAUUGGACAAUGGGCGAAAGCCUGAUCCAGCUAUGCCGCGUGAGUGAAGAAGGCCUUCGGGUUGUAAAACUCUUUCAAUAGGGAAGAUAAUGAGGUUACCUAUAA
rnacentral:rRNA from 1 species